rnacentral:rRNA from 1 species
AAGGAAUAUUGGUCAAUGGACGCAAGUCUGAACCAGCCAUGCCGCGUGGAGGAUGAAGGUCCUCUGGAUUGUAAACUUCUUUUAUCUGGGACGAAACACUUCUUUUCUAAGAGGCCUGACGGUACCAGAUGAAUAAGCACCGGCUAACUCCGUGCCAGCAGCCGCGGUAAUACGGAGGGUGCAAGCGUUAUCCGGAUUCACUGGGUUUAAAGGGUGCGUAGGUGGGUAUGUAAGUCAGUGGUGAAAUCCCCGAGCUUAACUUGGGAACUGCCAUUGAUACUAUAUAUCUUGAAUACCGUAGAGNUAAGCGGAAUAUGUCAUGUAGCGGUGAAAUGCUUAGAUAUGACAUGGAACACCAAUUGCGAAGGCAGCCUACUAUGCGGUGAUUGACACUGAGGCACGAAAGCGUGGGUAGCAAACA